GCAUUGGUGGUAUAGGGGUUAGCAUAACUGCCUUCCAAGCAGUUGACCCGGGUUCGAUUCUCGGCCAACGCA
rfam:Monodelphis domestica chromosome 3, whole genome shotgun sequence.